AACGACCGGCGACCCCAUCCAACA
rnacentral:siRNA from 1 species